UCGAGAAUCUUCGGCAAUGGACGCAAGUCUGACCGAGCGACGCCGCGUGUGGGAUGAAGGCCUUCGGGUUGUAAACCACUGUCAGAGGGGAUGAAGUGUACGAGAGUUAUCUCUUGUAUUUGACAGAGCCUCAGAGGAAGCACGGGCUAAGUUCGUGCCAGCAGCCGCGGUAAUACGAACUGUGCGAACGUUAUUCGGAAUCACUGGGCUUAAAGGGUGCGUAGGCGGUUAUCUAAGUCAGGUGUGAAAUCUCUCGGCUCAACCGGGAAACUGCGCUUGAAACUGGAUGACUGGAGUGAUGCAGGGGUGUGUGGAACUUCCGGUGGAGCGGUGAAAUGUGUAGAUAUCGGAAGGAACGCCAGCAGCGAAAGCGGCACACUGGGCAUUUUCUGACGCUGAGGCACGAAAGCUAGGGGAGUGAACG
rnacentral:rRNA from 1 species